UACGGAGGGUGCAAGCGUUAUCCGGAUUUAUUGGGUUUAAAGGGUCCGUAGGCGGAUCUGUAAGUCAGUGGUGAAAUCUCAUAGCUUAACUAUGAAACUGCCAUUGAUACUGCAGGUCUUGAGUGAGAUUGAGGUAGCUGGAAUAAGUAGUGUAGCGGUGAAAUGCAUAGAUAUCACAAAGAACACCAAUGGCGAAGGCAGCUUGCUGGGCCACACCUGACGCUCAGGCACGAAAGCGUGGGGAGCGAACGGG
rnacentral:rRNA from 1 species